UGCCUACGGGAGGCAGCAGUGAGGAAUAUUGGUCAAUGGGCGGGAGCCUGAACCAGCCAAGCCGCGUGAGGGAAGAAGGUACAGCGUAUCGUAAACCUCUUUUGUCAGGGAACAAAGGCGGGGACUAGUCCCCGGAUGAGGGUACCUGAAGAAAAAGCAUCGGCUAACUCCGUGCCAGCAGCCGCGGUAAUACGUAGGGGGCAAGCGUUAUCCGGAUUUACUGGGUGUAAAGGGAGCGUAGACGGUUGUGCAAGUCAGAAGUGAAAGCCCGGGGCUCAACUCCGGUACUGCUUUUGAAACUGUGA
rnacentral:rRNA from 1 species